rnacentral:tRNA from 1 species
GGGGCUGUAGCUCAGUUGGCAGAGCGACUGCUUUGCAAGCAGUAGGCCAGGGGUUCGAGUCCCCUCAGCUCCA